GGGGGCGGCGGCAGAGGCGACCCGACCACACAAACAAUGAAACAAACAAACAAACACACACACAAACACACACACACACACACACACACACACACACACACACACACACACACACACACACACAAAGGAGGGCCAGGCUUCGGGGGGUGAGGGUGGGGGCGCUGGGGGGGAGUGUAGAGGGGGUGGGGUGGGUGGGGGGCGUGGUGACCUCGACCCCUUUGCACCUGACACCUGUGGGCGACUUGUAACACCUGUGACCUCGUUAGGGGCGACACCAGGGCUUGAAGAGAGUCGAGUUAGCGGGGUUGUCCUCUUGUUGUCUUCCUUGAUACUGUCUUCCUUGUCCUCUUCUCGUCCCUGGGGCUGCCUUCUGGGGGGGUGGGGGGCAGGGCAGGGGGGGGCGGUGGAGUUAGUCUAGGCCGCGCAUAUACCAUCGUCUUCAAUCCCUUUUAUGAAGACUAAUUCCUCUCUUUUUGGCUGUAACCCUCGAUGGUGUUGUUGUUGUUGUUGUUUGGUUGUUGUUGUUUUCCCUUCGCCAGCCUCGCCGGGGGGUCACCUGGGGCUGCGUCUUGACCUUCCGCGAACACCGUGCAUGAGCUACUGCACCCCGUGGCUCAGGUCGGGGUCAAUAGGUCAGAAGGUGGUCACGAAAGACUUGGCGUGGCACUCUCUCUCUCUCUCUCUCUCUCUCUCUCUCUCUCUCUCUCUCUCUCUCUCUCUCUCUCUCUCUCUCUCUCUCUCUUUUCACUUUCUUCCUCAAUAACGGUGACGGUGGUGACGGUGACGGUGGUAGUGGGCAGACACGGUACUCCUCUCUAUCUCUCUUUUCUCUUCUCUUCUCUUCUAUGUCUCUCUUUCUCUUCACUUUCUUUCUUAUGGUGGUGGUGAUGGUGGUGUUGCAAGGCUAGACUUGGUACACCUCUUUCUCUCUUCUCUCUUCUCUUUCUCUCUCUCUGGUUGUGGUUUGGGUGGUGUGUGGUUGGUUGUGUAGUGAAAGGGCAGAAAUGGUACCUCUCCCUAUCUCUCUUCUCUUCACUCUUCUCUUCUCUUCUCUUCUCUCUGGUUGUGGUUUGGUGGUGUGUGGUUGGUUGUGUGACGAAAGGGCAGAAAUGGUACCUCUCCCUAUCUCUCUUCUCUUCUCUCUUCUCUUCUCUUCUCUUCUCUUCUCUUCUCUCCUCUUUCUCUGUGGUUGUGCUUUGGUUGGCCAUGGUGCUGCUGCUGCUUGGAAAUUUGGUUGUCGAUUAUUUUUGUUUUUUCCUUUAUUUUCCAGUUUCGUUUUUAUUUGGAUUCGAUAUUUUUUUCGUCUUUUAAGACUCGGGCUCUCUGGAUGUCAUUUUUUCCAGUUUUCUGAUUGUAAAUUUCUUCUUUUUUUCCAUAUAUUUUUACGUUUUGUUGUUGUUGUCAUUGUUGUUGUUGUUGUUGUUGUUGUUGUUGUUGUUGUUGUUGUUGUUGUUUCCUGUUCUCGCUUUUUGAACUGCAUGCCUCUUCUAUAAGGUAUUUAAUUAUUCUUGUUUUCUUUUCUUUAAUAUUCUCGUUCUUUUUGUGUAUCUCUUUUUCUACUCCUUGGAUUUCAUUAUUUCUCUAGUUUCAGCAGUUCUAAAAUCAACUCUUCUUUUGUUUUUUUCCAUCGGGUGUUUAAAACUGGCCAUUCUUCUUUUGUUUUUCUAAGUGGAGUUUACAAUCAGCUAUUCUUGUGCUCUCAGAAGGUGGAAAUCAUAGUUAUUCUUUUGUUUUCCAGCGGGGUUUCAAAUGAUGUUUGUUUUUUUGUUAUUUCUUUUAGACGAAAGUAAGGGAGUUCAUCUUUUUUCUCUUCCGUGUACAAUCACUUUUUCUUACCCUCUUAGAAGCUGAAAAUCAUCGUUAUUCUUUUGUUUUCCAGCGGGGUUUCAAAUGAUGUUUUUUGUUAUUUCUUUCAGACGAAGGUAAUGGUGUUCAUCUUUCUUCUCCGUAUACAAUCAGCUAUUCUUACCCUCCCAGAAGCCGAAAAUCAUAGUUACUCUUUUGUUUCCUGGCGGGUUUUACAUCACAACUAAUUUUCCGGCGAAGAUUCAAACCAGUUCUUCUUUUGUUAUAUAUUCCAGGCGUUCGUGAGGGUGUUCAUCUUCUUCUCCGUUUACAAUCAGUUAUUCUUUUGUUUUCUGGCGGGUUCUACAUUAUAACCAAUUUUCCGGCGAAGUUUCAAACCAAUUCUUCUUUUGUUAUAUAUUCCAUCUUGAUUCUGGGAGUGUAUCUUAAGUGUGUGUUUCUUGCUGUCUCGCUGUUGUUUUUGCUAUCAUCCUCUAUCUUUAUCUUCAGUGUUAGCUGUGGGGUGUUCAGGGUGGAUAUCUUGAUUUUGGGAGUGAAUUUUGGAGUGUAUUUCUUGGUAUCCUUAUGGGUGUAUGUUUAUCUUCAUUCGUAUCUUUAUUUAUUCUUGGUAUUUUUCUCUAUCGUCAUUUCUAGCUGUAGGGUGUUUUAGGGUGGAUAUCUUGAUGCUGGGAGUGUUUCUUGAAGUGUAUUUCUUAUUAUCUUUCUGCAGGUAUCUUUAUCUUAUCUUUAUCUUCGUACGUUAUCUUGCUGUAUCCUUAUCUUCAUUUGCUCUACUUCCCUUUUUUUAUUAUUUUCACGUUUUUCUGUAUUUUCUCUCUUCUAAUUCUUAAUAUUUCUUCUGUACGUCUUUUCUUUUUCAUUUUCUAUUUUUUAGUUCUUAGAUUCGAUAACUUUUCUUUUGGUUUUAUUUAUUUUUUGUUUUUCUCUAAUAUUUUCGUUUUUCUGUGAUGUUUUUUCCUCCUCCUCCUCACCAUCAUUUAAGAGAAUAGUGAAAGGAUGUUGUAGUGGGCGUGAGAAAGCUACCCAUCUUCUUUCACCAUCACCAUCAUCAUCUUCAUCAUCAAAGAGUAUAGUGUAAGGAUGUUGUCAUAGGCGUGAGAUAGCUAUCCAUCUUUUUCCA